GACGAACGCUGGCGGCGUGCCUAAUACAUGCAAGUUGAGCGCUGAAGGUUGGUACUUGUACCAACUGGAUGAGCAGCGAACGGGUGAGUAACGCGUGGGGAAUCUGCCUUUGAGCGGGGGACAACAUUUGGAAACGAAUGCUAAUACCGCAUAAAAACUUUAAACACAAGUUUUAAGUUUGAAAGAUGCAAUUGCAUCACUCAAAGAUGAUCCCGCGUUGUAUUAGCUAGUUGGUGAGGUAAAGGCUCACCAAGGCGAUGAUACAUAGCCGACCUGAGAGGGUGAGCGGCCACAUUGGGACUGAGACACGGCCCAAACUCCUACGGGAGGCAGCAGUAGGGAAUCUUCGGCAAUGGACGAAAGUCUGACCGAGCAACGCCGCGUGAGUGAAGAAGGUUUUCGGAUCGUAAAACUCUGUUGGUAGAGAAGAACGUUGGUGAGAGUGGAAAGCUCAUCAAGUGACGGUAACUACCCAGAAAGGGACGGCUAACUACGUG
rnacentral:rRNA from 1 species